AUGGACUUUCCAGAGACAAGGCUGGUCACCAUUGACCUUUCAGAGUCAAGUCAAGUCACUGGUGAUCUUCAAGGACUGUGUCAAGUCACUGGUGAUCUUCAAGGACUGUGUCAAGUCACUGGUGAUCUUCAAGGACUGUGUCAAGUCACCGGUGAUCUUCAUGAACAAGUGCCAGUCACCAAUGAUCUUCGCGAGCAGAGUCAGGCCAGCGCCGAUCUUCUGAAGUCCAGUAAGAACACCAGGGGAUUACCAGAGCUUCGUUGUUCUUCUGGUCCGGCCGCACUGAGGUCUGAUCCGCCCUGGAGGGCUUCCGCCUUGACCACAUGGCUGUGGUGGUCUUCUGCUCCGCCCUGGGGGACUCCGGCCUCAACCACAGGGGUGUGGUGGUCUUCUGCUCCGCCCUGGGGGAAUCCGGCAUCGACCACAAGGACGUGGUGGUCUUCUGCUCCGCCCUGGGAGGCUUCCGCCCGGACCACACGGUUGUGGUGGUCUUCUGCUCCGCCCUGGGGGACUCCGGCCUCAACCACAGGGAUGUGGUGGUCUUCUGCUCCGCCCUGGGGGAAUCCGGUAUCGACCACAAGGACGUGGUGGUCUUCUGCUCCGCCCUGGGAGGCUUCCGCCCGGACCACACGGUUGUGGUGGUCUUCUGCUCCGCCCUGGGGGACUCCGGCAUCGACCACAGGGACGUGGUGGUCAUCUGCUCUGCCCUGGGGGACUCCGACGUCGACCACAAGGAUGUGGUGGUCUUCCGCUCCACCCUGGGGGACUCUGGCAUCGACCACGAGGACGUGGUGGUCUUCUGCUCCGCCCUGGGGGGCUUCCGCUCUGACCACACGGUUGUGGUGGACUUCUGCUCUGCCCUGGGGGACUCCAGUCUACACCACACAGACGUGGUGGUCUUCUGCUCCGCCCUGGGGGGGCUUCAUGUUGUUGUUUGUUUUUUGUUUUGUGUGUUCACUCCCGUCCCUGUUCCCCUCUGUUAGUCUGGCCCUCCGUCCCUCCCCCUGA
rnacentral:lncRNA from 1 species